GUGCUGUGAAGGAAAUCAUCCACAUCUUUACUGUCACUUCUCAUUAGCAGAGUAGUCAGGUAAAUGAGUCCAUCCACAUCUUUACUGUCACUUCUCAUUAGCAGAGUAGUCAGAUAAAUGAGUCCAUCCACAUCUUUACUGUCACUUCUCAUUAGCAGAGUAGUCAGAUAAAUGAGUCCAUCCACAUCUUUACUGUCACUUCUCAUUAGCAGAGUAGUCAGGUAAAUGAGUCCAUCCACAUCUUUACUGUCACUUCUCAUUAGCAGAGUAGUCAGUAAAAGAGUCCAUCCACCAUAGCAGUGGUGCAUCUUACUACACAAGUAGCCUGGAACUGCUAAUCCUGAGAUGGUUUCUGAUGUCCAUGCUUUCCGCCCCU
rnacentral:lncRNA from 1 species